rnacentral:rRNA from 1 species
UACGUAGGGUGCGAGCGUUAAUCGGAUUUACUGGGCGUAAAGCGUGCGCAGGCGGCCCGUUAAGACAGGUGUGAAAUCCCUGGGCUCAACCUAGGAAUUGCGCUUGUGACUGGCGGGCUCGAGUGCGGUAGAGGGGGGUGGAAUUCCUGGCGUAGCAGUGAAAUGCGUAGAGAUCAGGAGGAACACCGAUGGCGAAGGCAGCCCCCUGGGCCUGUACUGACGCUCAUGCACGAAAGCGUGGGGAGCAAACAGG